rnacentral:rRNA from 1 species
CUCAGGACGAACGCUGGCGGCGUGCCUAAUACAUGCAAGUCGAACGGAGAUAUUCGCUGAUGAAGUACUUCGGUAAUGAAUCUUGGAUAUCUUAGUGGCGGACGGGUGAGUAACGCGUGAGCAACCUGCCUUUCAGAGGGGGAUAACGUUUGGAAACGAACGCUAAUACCGCAUGACAUUAUCUUAUCGCAUGGUAGGAUAAUCAAAGGAGCAAUCCGCUGAAAGAUGGGCUCGCGUCCGAUUAGGUAGUUGGUGGGGUAACGGCCCACCAAGCCGACGAUCGGUAGCCGGACUGAGAGGUUGGACGGCCACAUUGGGACUGAGACACGGCCCAGACUCCUACGGGAGGCAGCAGUAAGGGAUAUUGGUCAAUGGGGGAAACCCUGAACCAGCAACGCCGCGUGAGGGAAGACGGUUUUCGGAUUGUAAACCUCUGUCCUCUGUGAAGAUGAUGACGGUAGCAGAGGAGGAAGCUCCGGCUAACUACGUGCCAGCAGCCGCGGUAAUACGUAGGGAGCGAGCGUUGUCCGGAUUUACUGGGUGUAAAGGGUGCGUAGGCGGCUUGGCAAGUCAGUAGUGAAAUCCAUGGGCUUAACCCAUGAACUGCU